CCAGUGCCUCGUCGGAGAAGAAGAACCAGACGCCGGAGGAGCUAGCCGCCGCCGCACCGGGGAAGUUUCCGACCACCGAUCGAGGUAAAUUUUCUCCCCCUGGCUCGUUUUUCGAUGCUGAGUCCGCCUAUGGCCAAACCGGAGCCAAACCACCAGCCAAACGGCCGAAAAACCCAGCCGAAGUCCAGCGACGCCGCCGCAACCCCCCUCUAUUUUUGCCUCCGAUGAGGCCCUUCCCGGCCUCCGUUCGAUACAAAUUUUAUACCACUGUGGAUCACCGUUUUUUUCUCUACAGGUUGAUCGGAGCCAAACAUCAAAACGCGACUCACGCCGGAGGAGCCGCCGCACCCGAGAGCACCGCCGCCGGUAAGUUUCGAUUUUUCGUGAUUUUUUUUGCCCACUGAGGGUCCUAGAGUUGUUUUAUCGCAGGGACCGAUGCAAGUUGGCCGCAAAAAUGGCCAACUCGAGGCGGAUCACCGCCGCAGACGGCGGCGCCGUCGCCGAAGCACGGCGGAGCCGCCGUGCCGGAAUUCCGAUAUUGGCCGAAAAGGGCCCUAGGUCUGAUUUGAGAUUUUUUGGGACACGUGCAGGUACCGGUAGUGCAUUUCAGUUUUCCGAAAAAAAUUCAGGGAAAUUAGGGACAACCUGUGGGCGCACUGUAGAGUCGAAUUCAGACCCCGAAAUAAGUAAGGACCCCUCACCCUAUUUCCUAUCACGGUAUUAAAGAUAAAUAAAUAAUUAAACUGUACUGUGUGACUUUAUAGAUGUAUAAN
rnacentral:lncRNA from 1 species